AGUGGGGUUGAUGGUGGUUGUGACGGUAACAGCGCCACCAGUGUUGUCCGUUCACGACGCCAACGGCGUCUUACCAACGAGAUCCAACGCCUGGCUUAGAAUUUUAUGCUCUGGCAGGUUACGCAGACGCAGGCGUUCUCUUUAAUAUGGAAGGAGAUAUCGACGGGAAGAGAGAACGAGAUAGAAUGGUCUUCUAUGUGAUCGAUAUGGAGGAUGUUACAUGGAGUUAGUCACUACCCUGAUUCCGCUUGCGCUUAUUUCUUGCGCGGGAAUAACCUGUAUCCUUCGAUUAUUAACAUUAAUCCAGUUGAGGAAAAUCGUUGGAAUAAAAAAUGAUGACGGUUUAAUGGAUAAGCUAAGAAUAGUUGGGAAAAUAAUAUGAUCACGUGUGUGCGUUUAAUCAUAACAAGUAAAACAGAAACCGUGUUGUUAACGUUUAACGUGACAAAGAAAGCACCAAGCGCAUUAGUCACCGUCAUAAUGCUUGUAAGAAUCUCUAGAGAGGAAUGGUAGGAAAAAAUGUGGGCGGAGAGAAAGGAUGAUGCUAAGGAGAAACGGAGAAUGAGGAAAGAUUAAGAUACGGACAAAAGAAAUUCUUAGUUGUAUCGUUUGUAAUAGGAUUUUUUUUUUUUUUUAUUUCUUUUCCUUCUUUUUUUUUUCAAAUACAAUUCUAAGACACGAUAAAACGGUAUCUGGAACACGAUAUUCUUUUAGGUUAUUGAAAAAAGAAGUGAAGGAAAAUAUUACAAUACGAUUGGGAUCUAAAAAUAUUCAACAAUAAGGUACUCGAUCAUUUUCCUAUUCGAGAAGAUAAUAAUUUCAUAUAUGUAUAUAA